CAGCAAAACCGCGCGAACGCAAUAAUUCCAAAAAGCAAAAUAAAACACAGAACGCGAGAGGAAGUCGGCGAAGAAAAAAAAACUAUCGUUAGGGUUAUCGAAGUUUCUCGAGGAGGUUGUUGAAGAAUCAGAGCAUGGAUACUAAGAGAACGCUGCAGCGUUCUGUGCUGGCUUUAACAGACGAGACUCUUAUUUCAGUAAGCAGAGUAGUAAAUGCUGCAAGGGGGGACGCGAAUGAUGGGGUUGAACAGUGUGAUCCUCAAGUUAUCACUCAAGCAUCAUCUUUAAGUAAGCUGCCAGCGGAGCCUUCCUCUGUGGAUAUUGUGGUUUCCAUCUGCAGUUCGCUUGAAUUUCCUGGUGAUCUGUUGGUAAAGGAAAUUUUUAGAGUGCUGAAGCCUGGUGGAACUAUUCUGAUUUACAAUUCUCAGCAAUCUGUUAUAGGAGAAACUGACAAGGCAAUUUCUGGUCUUCAGCGCAAGUUGCUUUUGGCUGGGUUCUCAGAAGUAGAAGCUCUACAACCAAAAUCUGUUGGACUCUCCAAUGCGAUUCGUUCUUUUGGGAUUCAGGCCAAGAAGCCUUCUUGGAAUAUUGGGUCAUCCUUUGCGCUAAAGAAAUCCAUAAAAUCAUCAGUCAAGGUUCAGAUUGAUGAUGAUUCAGAUUUGAUUGAUGAGGAUAGCCUUUUGACUGAAGAGGAUUUGAAGAAACCUCAGCCACCACUUGUUGGUGAUUGUGAAGUUGGAAGCACAAGGAAGGCUUGCAAGAACUGCACUUGUGGUAGAGCUGAGGCAGAGGAAACAGUGAAGUUGGGACUCACCACGGAUCAGCUGAACAAUCCUCAAUCAGCAUGUGGCAGUUGUUGGCUAGGGGAUGCUUUUCGUUGCAGCACAUGCCCUUACAAAGGUCUUCCUCCAUUCAAACUCGGUGAAAAGGUGUCGCUGUCUGAAAACUUUCUCGUGGCAGACAUUUGAAGAUGCUGCUUUUGGACAUACGCAGCUUUUGAAAGCUUUUGUUUUCAGUUGGCAAUGAUCCAUGCAUACUUUACCGAUUCAAAUGCUUGGAAGCAAGUCAGUUGAUCUGUUGAGAAAGAAGAACUAGAAGCCCUUGUGGACCAACCAGUAUUUCGUUAAGGAAACUCGAUAAGCCAAACCAUACCACAGGAGUCACAUCCACUCCUCCAAGUGGUGGAAUCAACUUCCUGGUUGGAAUGAGAAGCGGUUCUGUGGGAGCAUAAGCUAUUACAUAUGGAAACUUCCCAACAGGAAGCUUUGGGUACCAGGACAUUACUAUUCUCAAAACAAACAGAAAGGAAAAUGCUGAGAGGAACGGCCCUAAGAUACCUAUAGCUAACUUAGCUGUGGCAGGGUCCAAAUCUGCCAGCAUCAACCUCUGGAUUAAAUUUGACGUAGCUUCUGACGUUGUCGGUAUAUCUACCUUGAUAUUCCUCACAGCCUCGAGAACGCUGAAAGGCUCCCCUGAAAUGGUUGCGUGUGAUGGCGAGAAGUCAACAUCGAGAGAGGCUGUGACUCCUGCAGAGCAACACGUCCUAGACCGCAAGACUUGACGGUCUUGAUUGGCAUGUCUGGUAGGGCGUUGCAACCUUUCCUGCACAAUAUAUUGUAUUAGUACAAAUGAAUAUAAAAAAACUAAGAAAAACCAAAUGUCAAAUGAAAUCAGAAUUAUUGAUUCAUAACAAAA